AUUGAACGCUGGCGGCAUGCCUUACACAUGCAAGUCGAACGGUAACAGGUCUUCGGAUGCUGACGAGUGGCGAACGGGUGAGUAAUACAUCGGAAUGUGCCUAGUAGUGGGGGAUAACUACUCGAAAGAGUGGCUAAUACCGCAUGAGAUCUACGGAUGAAAGCAGGGGAUCGCAAGACCUUGUGCUACUAGAGCGGCCGAUGGCAGAUGAGGUAGUUGGUGGGAUAAAAGCUUACCAAGCCGACGAUCUGUAGCUGGUCUGAGAGGACGAUCAGCCACACUGGGACUGAGACACGGCCCAGACUCCUACGGGAGGCAGCAGUGGGGAAUUUUGGACAAUGGGCGAAAGCCUGAUCCAGCAAUGCCGCGUGCAGGAUGAAGGCCUUCGGGUUGUAAACUGCUUUUGUACGGAACGAAAAGCCCCGGGUUAAUACCCUGGGGUCAUGACGGUACCGUAAGAAUAAGCACCGGCUAACUACGUGCCAGCCGCCGCGGUAA
rnacentral:rRNA from 1 species